rnacentral:rRNA from 1 species
UACGAAGGGAGCUAGCGUUGUUCGGAAUCACUGGGCGUAAAGCGCACGUAGGCGGAUGUGUCAGUCAGGGGUGAAAUCCCGGAGCUCAACUUCGGAACUGCCUCUGAUACAGCACGUCUUGAGUCCGAUAGAGGUGGGUGGAAUUCCUAGUGUAGAGGUGAAAUUCGUAGAUAUUAGGAAGAACACCGGUGGCGAAAGCGGCUCACUGGCUCGGUUCUGACGCUGAGGCGCGAAAGCGUGGGGAGCAAACAGG